rnacentral:rRNA from 1 species
AUUGAACGCUGGCGGCAGGCUUAACACAUGCAAGUCGAGCGGGGAGAUGUAGCUUGCUACAUUUCCUAGCGGCGGACGGGUGAGUAAUGCUUAGGAAUCUGCCUAUUAGUGGGGGACAACAUUCCGAAAGGAAUGCUAAUACCGCAUACGCCCUACGGGGGAAAGCAGGGGAUCUUCGGACCUUGCGCUAAUAGAUGAGCCUAAGUCAGAUUAGCUAGUUGGUGGGGUAAAGGCCUACCAAGGCGACGAUCUGUAGCGGGUCUGAGAGGAUGAUCCGCCACACUGGGACUGAGACACGGCCCAGACUCCUACGGGAGGCGGCAGUGGGGAAUAUUGGACAAUGGGCGCAAGCCUGAUCCAGCCAUGCCGCGUGUGUGAAGAAGGCCUUUUGGUUGUAAAGCACUUUAAGCGAGGAGGAGGCUACUUGGAUUAAUACUCUAGGAUAGUGGACGUUACUCGCAGAAUAAGCACCGGCUAACUCUGUGCCAGCAGCCGCCGUAA